rnacentral:rRNA from 1 species
AUUGAACGCUGGCGGCAGGCCUAACACAUGCAAGUCGAACGAAGCGGCGGAAGGGUGAGUAACGUGUGGGUAACCUGACCUUAAGUCUGGGAUACCAUUUGGAAAAAGAUGCUAAUACCGGAUGCUAAAGGAUGGACAUGCGAUUCAUUAGCUAGUUGGUAAGGUAACGGCUGACAAAGGCGAUUAUGCAGAGCCGAGUUGAGAGACUGAUCGGCCACAUUGGGACUGAGACACGGCCCAAACGCCUACGGGAGGCAGCAGUAGGGAAUCUUCCACAAUGGACGAAAGUCUGAUGGAGCAACGCCGCGUGAGUGAAGAAGGUUUUCGGAUCGUAAAGCUCUGUUGUUGGUGAAGCGGUAAUCAACCAGAAAGUCACGGCUAACUACGUGCCAGCCGCCGCGGUAAUAC